rnacentral:misc_RNA from 1 species
UGCCACGAUAUCCAUCACUGUGCGCACCCGACGGCAAGGCUGCUUUGCUCUUUACUGCUUGUGCGUGGUGAAAGCAGCGCGCGUGCGCUGCCUACUUCGGCCCUGAGCGAGACAUAUUCCCGUUCUGCCUUCUCUCACACCCUCACAUACGAAAAAAAAAAGACAAAAUGGUCUUCUACUUUACGCUGACGUCGGACCCGUCCGUCAUGUGCUACAUGGGCCGUGACAAGUACGAGAACGAGGAGCUCAUCAAGUUUGGGUGGCCAGAGGACCUUUGGUUUCACGUGGACAAGCACAGUAGCGCGCACGUCUACGUGCGUCUGCCACCUGGCAAGGGAAUGAACGACUUGACCCCGGAGAUUAUCGAGGAGUGCUGCCAGCUCGUCAAGGAGAACAGUAUCGAAGGGUGCAAGCUGAACGACGUCCGCAUAGUCUACACACCAUGGAGCAAUCUGAAGAAGACGGGUGACAUGGCGGUCGGCCAGGUCGGCUUCCACAAGGAGGAGCUGCGGCGCUACCACACCAUCUCCAGCAAGAACCGUUCAAUGCUCAAGGCGCUCGAGAAGACGCGUGUGGAAAAGAACGACGUCGACUUCCGCAAACUGCGUGAGGAUCGCGAUAUGGAGGAGCGCCGCAAGCAACGCGCCGAGAAGGCCGCUCGGGAACAGCAGGACAAGCUAGAGCGGGAAGAGAAGAAGCGCCAGGAGGAUUUGCGGAUGUACAAGGACGUGAUGGACGAGAACAACAUGCGCCUCAACACCGGUGAAGUGCCGGAUGAGGACGACUUCAUGUAAGAGGUGAAGCGAAUACAUAAGCAAUGCGAUCUAUAUAUAGAGAGAGGGCGAAAAAUGCGUGAGCGGUACCAACGUGGCGGCAGUCAGCGGGGAAGUACACGCACGUGCACGCGUGCCCGGGGUUGAUUGGUUUGCACCUUCUCAAAUACCACUUUACGCUGGUUUCGAUACGAGCAGCCUGUUUGCGUGUUGUCUGUCUGUAGCUCGGCGCUACUGUCGCGCUGUCCUCUUUGCUCUUGAGCGCAUGACGCUUGCUGGU